rnacentral:rRNA from 1 species
UGGGGAAUUUUGGACAAUGGACGCAAGUCUGAUCCAGCCAUGCCGCGUGCGGGAAGAGGGCCUUCGGGUUGUAAACCGCUUUUGUCAGGGAAGAAACGAGUUUCUCUAAUACAGAGACUUAAUGACGGUACCUGAAGAAUAAGCACCGGCUAACUACGUGCCAGCAGCCGCGGUAAUACGUAGGGUGCGAGCGUUAAUCGGAAUUACUGGGCGUAAAGCGUGCGCAGGCGGUGAUGUAAGACAGAUGUGAAAUCCCCGGGCUUAACCUGGGAACUGCAUUUGUGACUGCAUUGCUGGAGUGCGGCAGAGGGGGAUGGAAUUCCGCGUGUAGCAGUGAAAUGCGUAGAUAUGCGGAGGGACACCGAUGGCGAAGGCAAUCCCCUGGGCCUGCACUGACGCUCAUGCACGAAAGCGUGGGGAGCAAACA